AGUGAACGCUGGCGGUAGGCCUAACACAUGCCAGUCGAACGGCAGCACAGUAAGAGCUUGCUCUUACGGGUGGCGAGUGGCGGACGGGUGUGGAAUACAUCGGAAUCUACUUUUUCGUGGGGGAUAACGUAGGGAAACUUACGCUAAUACCGCAUACGACCUACGGGUGAAAGCAGGGGAUCUUCGGACCUUGCGCGAUUGAAUGAGCCGAUGUCGGAUUAGCUAGUUGGCGGGGUAAAGGCCCACCAAGGCGACGAUCCGUAGCUGGUCUGAGAGGAUGAUCAGCCACACUGGAACUGAGACACGGUCCAGACUCCUACGGGAGGCAGCAGUGGGGAAUAUUGGACAAUGGGCGCAAGCCUGAUCCAGCCAUACCGCGUGGGUGAAGAAGGCCUUCGGGUUGUAAAGCCCUUUUGUUGGGAAAGAAAAGCAGCAGGUUAAUACCCCGCUGUUCUGACGGUACCCAAAGAAUAAGCACCGGCUAACUUCGUG
rnacentral:rRNA from 1 species